rnacentral:rRNA from 1 species
AUGAACGCUAGCUACAGGCUUAACACAUGCAAGUCGAGGGGCAGCAUGGUCUUAGCUUGCUAAGGCCGAUGGCGACCGGCGCACGGGUGAGUAACGCGUAUCCAACCUGCCUUACACUCUUGGACAGCCUUCUGAAAGGGAGAUUAAUACAAGAUGUUAUCAUGAGUAAGCAUUUUCGCAUGAUUAAAGGUUUACCGGUGUAAGAUGGGGAUGCGUUCCAUUAGAUAGUAGGCGGGGUAACGGCCCACCUAGUCUUCGAUGGAUAGGGGUUCUGAGAGGAAGGUCCCCCACAUUGGAACUGAGACACGGUCCAAACUCCUACGGGAGGCAGCAGUGAGGAAUAUUGGUCAAUGGACGAGAGUCUGAACCAGCCAAGUAGCGUGAAGGAUGAAGGUUCUAUGGAUUGUAAACUUCUUUUAUACGGGAAUAAACGGAUCCACGUGUGGAUUUUUGCAUGUACCGUAUGAAUAAGGAUCGGCUAACUCCGUGCCAGCAGCCGCGGUAAUACGGAGGAUCCGAGCGUUAUCCGGAUUUAUUGGGUUUAAAGGGAGCGUAGAUGGGUUGUUAAGUCAGUUGUGAAAGUUUGCGGCUCAACCGUAAAAUUGCAAUUGAUACUGGCAGUCUUGAGUACAGUUGAGGUAGGCGGAAUUCGUGGUGUAGCGGUGAAAUGCUUAGAUAUCACGAAGUACUCCGAUUGCGAAGGCAGCUUACUAACCUGUAACUGACAUUGAUGCUCGAAAGUGUGGGUAUCAAACAGGAUUAGAUACCCUGGUAGUCCACACGGUAAACGAUGAAUACUCGCUGUAGGCGAUAUACAGUCUGCGGCCAAGCGAAAGCAUUAAGUAUUCCACCUGGGGAGUACGCCGGCAACGGUGAAACUCAAAGGAAUUGACGGGCACCCGCACAAGCAGUGGAGCAUGCUGUUUAAUUCGAAGAUACGCGAAGAACCUUACCAGGGCUUGACAUCCCACUGACCGCUUUAGAAAUAAGGCUUUCCCUUCGGGGACAGUGGUGACAGGUGGUGCAUGGUUGUCGUCAGCUCGUGCCGUGAGGUGUCGGCUUAAGUGCCAUAACGAGCGCAACCCUUGCCGAUAGUUACUAACAGGUCAUGCUGAGGACUCUGUCGGGACUGCCAUCGUAAGAUGUGAGGAAGGUGGGGAUGACGUCAAAUCAGCACGGCCCUUACGUCCGGGGCUACACACGUGUUACAAUGGGGGGUACAGAGGGCUGCUACCACGCAAGUGGAUGCCAAUCCCAAAAACCUCUCUCAGUUCGGAUUGAAGUCUGCAACCCGACUUCAUGAAGCUGGAUUCGCUAGUAAUCGCGCAUCAGCCACGGCGCGGUGAAUACGUUCCCGGGCCUUGUACACACCGCCCGUCAAGCCAUGGGAGCCGGGGGUACCUGAAGUGCGUAACCGCAAGGAGCGCCCUAGGGUAAAACUGGUGACUGGGGCU